AAUAGUUUUGGUUGUCAGAUGGUUUUGAAACAUCCAUGGCAAAUGGUGCUGGAGUGAAGGGGAAGAGGGGGCAAAGAGUGCGUUACCACCUCUUGGAGAGCUCCAGAGAGAUGGUCAUGGGUGGGCCUCAAGUGGAGGUUUCUUUCACACUUGGGUGACAAUGAGUGCUGAGGAACAAAAGAGGGAUCCAAGAAAAACCAGCGGCACCAACCGUGGCUAGAACAUGUAACCUCCCCCCUGCCAUCUCAAUCUCCGGGCAGAACUGGAUCGCCAUGGCCCCAGUGAGACCAGAUCAAGCCAAUCCAAUUGCCAAGCAGGGAUCAAGUCACCAUGCUGGUGCUGCUCCCAGAAACCACCAGGAGCCAAACCUCCUGAGGUCUUCCCACCACAUCACAUGGUCUGCUGCCUGGGCACAUGAGCGUGUGUGAGAGGCAGAGAAAAGAAAGCAAGGAUUAAGAGAUAAAAACCAUAUGAGCAACCAAAUCUAUUUUGAAGUACUAUGACUUCCUUCCUCAAAGAAGCCCUUUUUUUGGUCCCCUAUGAUCACUCACUGGCCUUUUCACAAGCCUAAACUCUGGUCAAAGGUGAUUUAUUCAUUUUAUUGGCUUAUUUUCAUAACGUUGAGAAAUAUUCAGCCAAGUAACUGCAACUCACUAGACGCAGCCAUAAAAACUAGUCCGUCAGCUGAGUUCUUUUAAAUUUCUGAUUUAUAUAUUUUUUUUGCCUUUGGCAAUAUUUGAUCCUAAAAUAAACUAGUGAUAUCUGGG